CCCAGAACAUAGAAGGGAAAGCAGCUCCCUGAAGCAAGGCUGCAGACUCACUGAGAAUGACAGACAGUCAUGAUCCAACUGGUGACAGGAGUGCAGCUGGUGGAGGCCAAUCAAUGCCUUGUAAUUCCCUUUAAGGGGGCCCUGCAUGCCUAGUCUGCUUAGAAAGCAGCCUUGAGAAGAACAAACAAACCAUCUAUAAGAAGAUAAGGAGCAAAGCAAACUUCCUGUCUCAGGAGGUUGUAAAACAAGCAAUUCCUCACCAUCCAUCCAACUGCAUACCUAAGCCUAAGAUGUAUGUAGCCAAAAGACUGAGUUUUCAUGAAGUCAACAAGGUAAUUGGCUAAACAGGCUGUCAGAGGCACCACAGCAGUUUGUCUGGAUAAAAAGGCAGUGAAGACCAUCCCUGACGACAUCAUAUGCCAUCAGCUCAGGAGAAAACUAUCGGUGUCCCUCCCAUAAGAUCAUUGUGUCUAGAGGCACCAUGACUGGCCAGUGUGACUGAACCCGAGCACCAGUGGAUUGCCGUGUAUGUAUGAAUGGUUUUAGAUAAAGCAUUGCUUUUUCCCCCACUUGAUUUGUGUGUGACUCAAUA